CACGUUUGGAUGACUACAGAUGAGACGUUAUGUAUUACAAAUAAAGAAGCAAGAUCAGUACAGAUUUGUUAUUGGAGAUACAGUGCAAGCUGUGUGGAAUCAAAGACCUGUAUUGAUGAGGCCAGUGUCAGUGAAGAUGGUGUGGUCACUGGAAUCCUGGUGUUUGUGGGAAAUGUGAAGGAGCUUCUCCCAGGAUUCUACUACAGUGUUGUCCUGAUGACUGAGGUAAUU